rnacentral:rRNA from 1 species
GGAUCAUUACACAAUAUGAAAGCGGGCUGGCAUCCUUCGGGGUUACAGCCUUGCUGAAUUAUUCACCCGUGUCUUUUGCGUACUUCUUGUUUCCUUGGUGGGUUCGCCCACCAUAGGACAAACCAUAAACCUUUUGUAAUUGCAAUCAGCGUCAGUAAAAAAAUUAAUAAUUACAACUUUUAACAACGGAUCUCUUGGUUCUGGCAUCGAUGAAGAACGCAGCGAAAUGCGAUAAGUAGUGUGAAUUGCAGAAUUCAGUGAAUCAUCGAAUCUUUGAACGCACAUUGCGCCCUUUGGUAUUCCAAAGGGCAUGCCUGUUCGAGCGUCAUUUGUACCCUCAAGCUUUGCUUGGUGUUGGGCGUCUUGUCUCCAGUUCGCUGGAGACUCGCCUUAAAGUAAUUGGCAGCCGGCCUACUGGUUUCGGAGCGCAGCACAAGUCGCGCUCUCUUCCAGCCAAGGUCAGCAUCCACAAAGCCUUUUUUCAACUUUUGACCUCGGAUCAGGUAGGGAUACCCGCUGAACUUAAGCAUAU